AUUGAACGCUGGCGGCAGGCCUAACACAUGCAAGUCGAACGAGUGGCGGACGGGUGAGUAAUGUCUGGGAAACUGCCUGAUGGAGGGGGAUAACUACUGGAAACGGUAGCUAAUACCGCAUACCAUCAGAUGUGCCCAGAUGGGAUUAGCUUGUUGGUGGGGUAACGGCUCACCAAGGCGACGAUCCCUAGCUGGUCUGAGAGGAUGACCAACCACACUGGAAAUGAGGAAAGGUCCAAACUCCCACGGGAGGGAGCAGUGGGGAAUAUUGCCACAUGGGGGCAAGCCUGAUGCCGGCAUGCCGCGUUGAUGGAGGAGGCCUUCGGGUUGGAAAGGUCUUUAAGCGGGGGGGCGUUACCCGCAGAAGAAGCCCCGGCUUACUCCGUGCCAGCAGCCGCGGUAAUAC
rnacentral:rRNA from 1 species